CUUUUCUCCCACCUCAUCAAUGCAUGCUUGGAGUGAAAGAUCAAGUUGGUCUUGAUUCUUCAGGUGAUUGGGAAAUCCUAGGUCCCAGGACGUGCUGGGUGGGCUCUGAGGCAGACCAACCCAUAACCCCAGAUCCACACAAACACCGAAGAACAAUCCCACUCACCACAAUGAAAACAUGAAUGGAAGAAGACUCUGGGCUCAAUUCUGAAGGCAAUAGUCUCCAAACUGUUUCUCUCAACCUCAACCAGCCUCUCUGCCUGCAGACACUCACACCACUCUCAUUCACCACCCCCUUUGCUCCACCCUGUGUCUAGGUUAGAGUAGCCCUGUUGCCAUGGUCUGAGAGUACUGAUGCCACCACUUCAUUCAGCUGUGUCUGACUGUUCUUUCUACCCACCUCCCCUGCCCAUAUUGCAUCCCCUCAUGCCAUAGGUGCAAUAUAAAGAAAUCUCCAAAUGCUGUCCCUCUUCCAUCUCCCCACCCUCAGUUCUCCAUUCUCCCUACAAUACAGACAGGAAGAAGUUCCAGGGUUCCAGUGACCUUGUCCCACAUGCCCUUCACCAGGGUGAGGUUGAGGGGGUCUGGGGAGAAUACAUGGAGACGAAAGCAAGCAGUUGAGUCCAUAGGCCCUCCCUCGUGAGCUUCCUCCCAGCCUGGAAUUCAGACGGAGGAGAGACAAGUCUCUCCCACUCUAACCAAUAUCCCCCUGACUCUGGGCCAGGUCAACAGAACCACAGCGGCCACAGGGCUCUAAGCCCAACCAAAUGACAGAUCUCCUGCCCUUAGGCCACACCAGGAGCUGGUCCUCAGCCAAGCCUGCUCUGUAGUUGAAAGAGGGAUAUGGAAAGAAGGGCUGGAAGAGAUUGACUGCUAAACAGAUUGUGAUAUCAGAAUCAUCCUCUUUAUGACUACAAGACCAAAAAUCUAUCUGGCUCUUCUUUUCGACCAACCAGCUAAAGAUACAGAAUGGUCAUCUCUGAAUUCACCCUGUGACCCAAUGGAACCCAGGGGUCUUUUCUUCUAAACCUAUUACUAUUUGUCAACCUAUAUAAUUAGUUUUGUUAUCUGUAUGCACAACCUGAACUAGUAAAACUUUGGAGUGAUUAGGCCA